GAUGAACGCUAGCGGCAGGCCUAACACAUGCAAGUCGAGGGGCAGCACAGAAACAGCAAUGUUUUGGUGGCGACCGGCGGACGGGUGCGUAACGCGUAUGCAACCUACCUUUAACAGGGGGAUAACGGAGGGAAAUUUCCACUAAUACCCCAUAACAUCGAUCAAGGCAUCUUGAUUGGUUGAAAACUCCGGUGGUUAAAGAUGGGCAUGCGUUGUAUUAGGUAGUUGGUGAGGUAAUGGCUCACCAAGCCUACGAUACAUAGGGGGACUGAGAGGUUAGCACCCCACACUGGUACUGAGACACGGACCAGACUCCUACGGGAGGCAGCAGUGAGGAAUAUUGGUCAAUGGGGGCAACCCUGAACCAGCCAUGCCGCGUGCAGGAAGACGGCUCUAUGAGUUGUAAACUGCUUUUAAACAGGGAUAAAGCACAGUAUGUAUACUGUGUUGAAGGUACUGUAAGAAUAAGGAUCGGCUAACUCCGUGCCAGCCGCCGCAGUAA
rnacentral:rRNA from 1 species